rnacentral:rRNA from 1 species
ACUGAACGCUGGCGGAAUGCUUUACACAUGCAAGUCGAACGGCAGCACGGACUUCGGUCUGGUGGCGAGUGGCGAACGGGUGAGUAAUGUAUCGGAACGUGCCCAGUCGUGGGGGAUAACGUAGUGAAAAUUACGCUAAUACCGCAUACGAUCUAUGGAUGAAAGCGGGGGAUCGCAAGACCUCGCGCGAUUGGAGCGGCCGAUAUCAGAUUAGGUAGUUGGUGGGGUAAAGGCCCACCAAGCCAACGAUCUGUAGCUGGUCUGAGAGGACGACCAGCCACACUGGAACUGAGACACGGUCCAGACUCCUACGGGAGGCAGCAGUGGGGAAUUUUGGACAAUGGGCGAAAGCCUGAUCCAGCCAUUCCGCGUGCAGGAUGAAGGCCCUUGGGUUGUAAACUGCUUUUGUACAGAACGAAAAGGUUUCUACUAAUACUAGGAGCUCAUGACGGUACUGUAAGAAUAAGCACCGGCUAACUACGUGCCAGCCGCCGCAGUAA